CCUACGGGAGGCAGCAGUGGGGAAUAUUGGGCAAUGGGCGCAAGCCUGACCCAGCAACGCCGCGUGAAGGAAGAAGGCUUUCUGGUUGUAAACUUCUUUUCGCAGGGACGAAGCAAGUGACGGUACUUGAGUAAUAAGCCUCCGCUAACUACGUGCCAGCAGCCGCGGCAAUACGUAGGUGGCGAGCGUUAUCCGGAUUUACUGGGUGUAAAGGGCGUGUAGGCGGGAAAGCAAGUCAGAUGUGAAAACCAUGGGCUCAACCUGUGGCCUGCAUUUGACACUGUUUUUCUUGAGUACUGGAGAGGCAGGCGGAAUGCCUGGUGUAGCGGUGAAAUGCGUAGAUAUUAGGAGGAACACCGGUGGCGAAGGCGGUCUGCUGGACAGCAACUGACGCUGAGGCGCGAAAGCGUGGGGAGCAAACAGGAUUAGAUACCCGUGUAGUC
rnacentral:rRNA from 1 species